AUGUUAGCGGCGGACGGGUGAUUAACACGGGGGUAACCUGCCUGUAAGACUGGGAUAACUCCGGGAAACCGGUGCUAAUACCGGAUAGUUCCUUGAACCGCAUGGUUCAGGGAUGAUAGACGGGUUCGGCUGUCACUUAUUGAUGGCGCCGCCAGCGUUCGUCCUGAGCCUGAGUCAACCUCUAAACCAAGGCGACGAUGCGUAGCCGACCUGAGAGGGUGAUCGGCCACACUGGGACUGAGACACGGCCCAGACUCCUACGGGAGGCAGCAGUAGGGAAUCUUCCGCAAUGGACGAAAGUCUGACGGAGCAACGCCGCGUGAGUGAUGAAGGUUUUCGGAUCGUAAAGCUCUGUUGUUAGGGAAGAACAAGUGCAAGAGUAACUGCUUGCACCUUGACGGUACCUAACCAGAAAGCCACGGCUAACUACGUGCCAGCAGCCGCGGUAAUACGUAGGUGGCAAGCGUUGUCCGGAAUUAUUGGGCGUAAAGGGCUCGCAGGCGGUUUCUUAAGUCUGAUGUGAAAGCCCCCGGCUCAACCGGGGAGGGUCAUUGGAAACUGGGAAACUUGAGUGCAGAAGAGGAGAGUGGAAUUCCACGUGUAGCGGUGAAAUGCGUAGAGAUGUGGAGGAACACCAGUGGCGAAGGCGACUCUCUGGUCUGUAACUGACGCUGAGGAGCGAAAGCGUGGGGAGCGAACAGGAUUAGAUACCCUGGUAGUCCACGCCGUAAACGAUGAGUGCUAAGUGUUAGGGGGUUUCCGCCCCUUAGUGCUGCAGCUAACGCAUUAAGCACUCCGCCUGGGGAGUACGGUCGCAAGACUGAAACUCAAAGGAAUUGACGGGGGCCCGCACAAGCGGUGGAGCAUGUGGUUUAAUUCGAAGCAACGCGAAGAACCUUACCAGGUCUUGACAUCCUCUGACAACCCUAGAGAUAGGGCUUUCCCUUCGGGGACAGAGUGACAGGUGGUGCAUGGUUGUCGUCAGCUCGUGUCGUGAGAUGUUGGGUUAAGUCCCGCAACGAGCGCAACCCUUGAUCUUAGUUGCCAGCAUUCAGUUGGGCACUCUAAGGUGACUGCCGGUGACAAACCGGAGGAAGGUGGGGAUGACGUCUAAUCAUCAUGCCCGGAUGAAUUGGAACGGUGAGUGCUACGAUCACGACACAUUCAC
rnacentral:rRNA from 1 species